UGGCUCAGUGGUAGAGUGCUUGCCUUACAUGCAUGAGGCCCUGGGUUCGAUUCCUCAG
rfam:Dipodomys ordii contig_38552, whole genome shotgun sequence.